CGCAACAGUAAAAAUUAACACACGGGAAAGAGAGCUCCUCUGGAGAGUCUGGUAUCCAAAGCAGUAAGAUUUCAGCCGUCACCAGUACAUGUCAAAGCACAGAAACAUCUGUUUCAUUACCCUGCGUUGGAGCUGGAGCCAUUACUUGGGAGAAGUCCCAUCGCAUGGCUAAGGACAGAGUCCAGCUCUCCCACCGGCUGUGCCAAAGCCCUCUCUGCUGCCCCGACAGUUGCCCAGGUUUUCUCGUCUGCCAGGAGCUGGAGACCUACCGAGUGUGACCAGCAGGAGCACCUCCAGCAGUGCCGCCUCCUCUCAGUGCGCUGAAAGCUUGGUGUCCAGGGGCAGCAGCACACAGCACGCAGCAAUCUCAGCACCUAAUGUCUGCAUGGGACUUGGAGUGUUUUACAAAUUGAUUUACUAAGCCUUUCCACAUCACUGUGAGAUACGUAAAAGUUAUCCCACCAAGAGAAAAGGAAGUGAUUUGCUAAAGGCCAGAGGGAAGCUCAUGUUUGAACUCUUUAAGCAAUUACUGGAAUGAAAGCAGCCUCCCAAGUGCCAAGAUUUUCUUUUAGAUGCCUGGAGCUCCUGGGAAACCAUGCACUU
rnacentral:lncRNA from 1 species